CAUUUACCUAGAGCAUUUUAGUUUCAAGGGAAAUAAUUGUGGUCCGACUGUAUUAUUUCAAAAAUCACAUUUGAGAUUUUUUUACUUGCACACCGGUAUAGUUUUUGCGGGGAAGCGAAAGUUGCUGGAAUUUUGUCUUCCUCUAAAAACAAGUGUCUGAUACAUGUAGUUGCAGUCUGUCUUUGGAAGCUGUUGAAGUAACAAGAAAGAGGCUACAUUGACAUCCUGUUUUGGUAGGGAGAAGUUUGAGUAUGUACAGUUGUUUGACCUGUCUUACCAUGUGGCAGUCCCAGAAGAUGUUACCAUUAUGAAUAAAUGCAGGGGAACUUGAAGACAAUGGUUAGUACAGAAAGGACAUAAAAGUAAUGUGAAAGUAACAGAUAUAAAUAAGAAGUGCUACAAGUGUGUUGUCAUGUGAAAAGGACUUUACCUCAACUGUGCUGCAUGAUGUAUAGUCAAGAGAGAGACAGCCAUGCACCAUCUGUAAACUGAGAUGGACCCACACAUGAAAUAUGUUUUUGGUGGAGACUGACCCAGUCAGCAACUUAUACUGUCUGCGAGUCAUUUCUUGUGUGUUAUAGUUUUCUUAAUAAUGCAUAAAAUAUCAAAAUAAUGGUUAGAUGAACUUAUUCAUCACUUGUACAUUAAUGUUAAAGUAGUUCAACAUUUUACCAUAACUUAAUUAAUAUUCUAUUAACCAGAUUUGUCACAUAUUUUCAUAUAAACAUUUGUAUAAUACAGUCUAAUCUAAUCCAGAAAUGAUGUUCCACAAUUUUGUAGUUAUACUUUAUUUUGUUUUGAUGUCUCAACAUAUAAUUACUAACAUCAACAAAACUUAGAUAUUUUACAAUUUGGUUGGUAUAUAUGGUUGUUUUGUUGAUAUGUUUUAUUUAUUUCCAUCCAGGGGAAUAAAGAAAUAUACAUUUUAAAAUAUCUCAUCAUUCCAGAUAAGUACACUACAUAAUCAAGAUAAAAGAAAUAAGAAAAAUUAUGUUGGUGGAAUUUUAUUUUAAAAAAUUGAUAUACAGUCUUUGUAGUAUUUACUUCUUAAGUUAUGUUGGACUGAAAUGGGAAUAACAACAUACUUUAAAUUUUUGUAGUCGUAAGUUUGGGGAUUAUUAACUUGAAAAAGAUUUUAUCUCGCUGUUAUGCCAUCUGAGCUUUAAUAUUUUUCAACAUUGUCAUUGGCAACAAGGCUAAACAUUAUUUCUUUUGUAUACCUUGCAUUCAUGUGUGAUAAAUGAUUUUAUGGUAUUCUUUAAUAUGAUAUAUGCUUUUCAUCUAACCAUGGAUUAAAAAAAUAUAUAUUUAUUUGUCUGAAAAUUAAGGUAAAAAUACUGACUGAUUAAAUUGCAAUAUAAGAAGGCUUAUAUGAGAUAAAGGAAGGUAAUUCCAUAAAAAAAAUGUAGAAUGUAGAUGAUAAAUAUAAUGAA